rnacentral:rRNA from 1 species
AAUAUUGCACAAUGGAGGGAACUCUGAUGCAGCAACGCCGCGUGAGUGAAGAAGGUUUUCGGAUCGUAAAAUUCUGUCAUUGGGGAAGAAUAAAUGACGGUACCCACGCAGGAAGCCCCGCCCAACCACGCGCCCGCAGCCUCGGUAAUACGUAGGGGGCGAGCGUUGUCCGGAAUUACUGGGCGUAAAGGUUACGUAGGCGGCUAUAUAAGUCAGGUGUGAAAUACCAGUGCUUAACACUGGAAUUGCAUUUGAAACUGUGUAGCUUGAGUGCAGGAGAGGAAAGUGGAAUUCCUAGUGUAGCGGUGAAAUGCGUAGAAAUUAGGAGGAACACCAGUGGCGAAGGCGACUUUCUGGACUGUAACUGACGCUGAGGUACGAAAGCGUGGGUAGCGAACA